rnacentral:rRNA from 1 species
UGCGUAGGCGGGAUUGCAAGUCAGAUGUGAAAUACCGAGGCUUAACUUCGGGGCUGCAUUUGAAACUACAGUUCUUGAGUGAUGGAGAGGUAAGCGGAAUUUCCAGUGUAGCGGUGAAAUGCGUAGAUAUUGGAAGGAACACCAGUGGCGAAGGCGGCUUACUGGACAUUAACUGACGCUGAAGCACGAAAGCGUGGGGAGCAAACAG